GCCAACUAAUGACCUGUCAUUCUUGUAUGCUGGCUAAAAUCUGAGAAAGAGUGAAAAGUUAGGGCACAUCCAGGUUCCCUGCAUGAGUAAGGCCGUUCACCAGUGUGCACUCUUAUGUGCUCUGUGCGAGCCCAUGCCCAUUUGAACCUCAUCUUGUAGCCUUUCCAAGGGCACUUGAGGGGCCGAUCAUCACAAUGCACCUUCUGAUGCUGCAACAGCUUCGGACCUAUCUGUAUUUGGGUCACAAUCUGCAUUUCCAGCAUAUCCAGAAUUCUCCUCUGCAUAUCUAGCAUUACAAUCUUUGUCAAGCCUGGCAUGUGCAUGUUUUCGAGCGCUUGAAAGCUAUUAGCCUCCAAACGCACAUCUAUGUUAUCAUCAUCAUCUGGGAAGUUUUGAUCAGGUAAAUAAGGAUGCACUUGGUUUGACAUCCACACCUUUCCAUACCACUUUCCAGCAAAGAUUAUUUUCUUCUGCCUUCGAGCAAUCGUUCCAAAGCAGUGUUUUCUGAACAAUGGAGAUUGGCUGAGGCUGACGCUGUAAUAGAGUUUAAUGCCUAAUUUCACCGCCCAAUGUUCAUUACAUGGAAUAACAUCCUCAUCUUCAAUGGCUAACCUAAGUUUCUCUUGGUCUUGCUCGGAGGCAUCCCUAUACUUUACAGAUUUCCACUGAUGAUCGAGUCCUAGCUCCUCAGCCACGAGUUUUGCUCUGAUUCAAUUUUUAGAUAUUCUGCAAAUUGCGAAUGACAAGCCUGUCAACACAUUACGCCAAAAACGGGCAGAGCAAGUUCAAAAGUUGCGUUACAUAUCAAACCAACUUUCAGGUAGCCAAACAAAAUUCAAAACAAUGCUUUUCCGCUUUUUUUUUUUUUUAAUUGUUUUAAACGAACCAAAUAUUCUUCUACAAAAGUUUACAAUCAAUAGCACAAUGGAUAAAAGUUAGUGGUGGCAAAAGUUUCAGCACAAACCAGAUCAAGAACAAGAAACUUAUUCAAUACUAGAUGUUUCAUUUUUUGAACCAAGGUCUUGAAGUUG